UAUGAUUUUUUUUUUUUUUUUUUUUUAACAAAUUACUAUGUCAAAUCUAGCGAAACUUGUAUAUGUACAUACAUAUAUAUGUAUAUAUAUAUAUAUGACAUAAUAGAGGUAAAAAGAAUCGAGUAACAUUCUCUUUAAAAAAAAAAAGCAUUUCAUGAUUCACUUCGAGAAGUUUAUUUUAGCAUGUAAUGAAAUUCAAUCAUAAAAAUCCCAAUUUCUCUAAUAAGAGCAAUAGCAAUAGCAGCAACACCUUGUCAAGCAGGAAGUUCGUUUCAAUGUCUCUUUACUAUUAAAAUCCACGUGCGCUGCAAAAUGAAACGAUUUAACUGAUUUUUAAAAGCUUAAUCUGAGGAGAUCAGAAAGCUAAAAAAAAAAAAAAAAAAAAAAAAAUAAUGGAAACGAAGGAAAUAAGGUUUUCAAGUCAUACAAUCGUGACUUGUAGUAAAUAGACAAACAAUAGAAAGAAGAGAAAAAAUAAAAAAAAAAAAACUAUUCAGCUACACAUAUACAUGCGCAAAAAUAGACAUACUUUUAAGGCGUCCUCGCGGUAUUACAAACUUUCGAUAACACUACUGCCUAUAUGGGAUUUUUAUUGCUUAUAAUAACGAUGGAGCGUCCAUGGGCGUCCAUAUUCGAUAUAUUAAAUCUUGCAAAAGUAUACUACGAAGAGUCUAUGCAUCCUGUAGAGGAGUAGGCAGUACCGAUUCAUGCAGAUUCUGCAAAGGGGCGUGGGAGAUGUCUCAUUAUAUUCCAUGUGAAUGUGAGGCCAUCUUCAGAAUUAGACACCAAGAGUUUGGCGAGCAUUUUAUUACGCUGGACACAAUAUAGUGCUUCGAUCCAAAGAAGUUGGUGGGAUUCUUAAAAUUCCUAAAACUGGAGAGCUAGUGGCAUGGGCGUGUACAAUGGUUCUCAUCGGUCGUGGUGCGUCUUGCCCACGUAAUUAAUUAAUAAUAAUGCAGUAAGUGUCAGGGAACAGAUGUGGCCACGUGUACCCUUCCGUCCAUAUGAUUAUAUCACGUUUCCAUGCACAAAUCAAAAUUAUACAACUUAAAGCUUUCCUAUUGAUCACAAUUUCAACUGACGGCCAUCCGGAUGAACUUGGUUUAAUCAAUUUCACUAUUUAAGCCAAUCAAGAGCAUCUAUAGCCAUAGGUAUUUUAGGCUGAGCAAAACAACGCAGACAGAGGUAAAAAGAGAGGAACGGACGGAUGGACAUUACAAGUGCAUAUUAAACUUGUUCGGAUAUAUGCAACACGCAGAAUGACUUUAAAUAGAUCCACCGGUCGAUUCAGAAACGUAUUCUCUCUGUCUUGUGUUCGACCUACACGACGCUGUUUUUGAGAUAUUUUAAUAAAAUACCGUACACUGACUUGUUUUGACACAAGCAUCAAAACUAUUUUGAAAAGUCGUUAUAUGAAUAAUUGUAGGGUGGUGGUAGGCUAUGGUUCGCUAUAACUAUUUUCCGUUUUUAGGGGUUCGUUCGCCAUGUUACGGAAAAAUUAUAACCGUUUAAUGCAGUUAAUGCCGUACAAUGAUCGAAUUAACAUAUUCCCAUAAUUGGAAAUGCACCCAAGUGCUCUAAAUACUAAAUUUAAUUACGUAUGUGCCUUAACGGGAUACAACACGUGUCGAAGUGUUGAGGUGCUUAAGCAAGUACAAACACAUUUUAUGCGGGAUACUAAAAAGAAGGGCGAAAAAGACAUAUCGUGCUGUAAACAAUUAUUACCAAAAUUUAUAUGCAACCAAAAAAACACUCUCUUCUAUAUGUUAGAUACAUUGCUGCAUAUGUGCAGAGGGGAAGUGAAGUUUUGACAAUAUUAGCUAAUGCACAAGAUAUUCAGUCUCCGUAAGACAAAAGCUCACCCAUUCACUUAAAUAAAUAUCAUCGAGAUUAGUCUACAGAUUUUGCAGACACAAGAAGAAGAAGAAAAGUCAACUAAAUUAAAAAAAAAUAAAAAAUUGGUAAGAUACAUACCAACCUUUUGUAGUCAACCAAUGAAAACAUUUGUUAAAGUCGCAUAACUCUGUCGAUCGUUUCGACUAUGACUUCCCGUAAAUGCGAAAAAUUUGUAUCUAGGGGCAGAAUUUCUUAUGUCAAUCUUGAUGACAACAUUUUAAAAUAAAUUAUGACUUAGCUUUUAAACAAGUAAUGCACAUACACGGAUGCAAAUCACUUCAUAUAUGUUGAAUUAAGAAAAAAGUUCGUGGCGUUUUUUAUAAUGAAUGUUUUUGCGGUUAUUUUGGUAACACUAUUGUAACGGUCCACACUACAAAGCAAGUAAACGAUGAGAUUGUAUAGAAAAUUUGAAAAAGAAGAAACACAUUCAUUAAUUUAAUCGAAAGUAAUUGAGUUUUGAGAAUAAAUAAAAUCGUUUUACUCUGCAAAAUCAUCCUUUCGAUCAUGAUCGCAAAGUUUAUCAAGGCUUGCGAGAAAGUUCGUGGUAGUUACAGUGCAGAUGCUUUAUUAUUGUUAAUGGCAAGGAAAUAUUCUGCUUGCUUCCACUCUAGAAGCUUCGAUGUCAAAGGUUUGCCAUACUCUCACCAAUCGUUCUUCAAAAAGGGAGAUAAAGUCGGUACUUUUCAACUGACGGCCUCAUGUCUGAAUUCUAGAUUGGCUAAAACAUAAUUUUCAACGAUUUGCAUAAAGCUGGAUACAAAAAGUAUUUCGAUAUUUGAACACCACAUGAAUUAAUAAAGACAUGCACGCCUGCAGUGAAAUUACAUUCACCAGCGAAAUGCUGCUGAGAAGAAAUAAAAUCAAGCCAUGUCUGAUGAGAUUGAUAACCGAUAAUGAAAAAUGGAUAAGAUAUGACAAUAAUGUGUGGAAAAUAUCAAAGCUGCACAAACGUCCAAAUUAGCAUCACUUAAGUUAAUGCUGUCAUGUUUCAUGUAAUAUAUCAUUAGUUGCGCACAUCUAGCGAAUCGAGUGAAUUCGUUCCUUACUAUCAACAAGUCAGACGAUGAAAGCACAUAAACGGAGUACAGCAUCGGAAAAAGAUUAAUAGGGAAAGCCUCGCCCGUGAUCGUGACAAUCCCAGACCAAACAUUGGCCCGGCCCAAAAUUGAGAGAAUUUAGCUAAGUAACUCCGAGUUUCUAUAAUGUCCAAAGCAAAAAAAAAUUUCCAUGGUUCACCUCCCCAAGAGUUUAUUUGAUUUUUAAGCUUGAUAAUACUUAACAGCGACUUAACACUCCAAACGAAAGUAUUAGGUCGUAAUCUAAGAAAAAUUGCAUUAAUUAUCGAAUUUUUGCUAAUUUUGCUAAAAUAAUCCUAUGACGUAAAGAACUGAAUUCAGAGAUCGUGAAAAGGGUUAUGCACUUUUUCGAUCUCUUUUGUACCCAGUGAUGGGAGAAACGUAUAAAGUCUCAAUCGUACGCGAAAGGUGAAGUUAGGAAAGCUAAAGCUAAAAUAUACAAUGGGAAGGCGGACUAUAGACUUAACGGACGAAGAAACAUACACACAUGCUGGUGGCCAAAAAUAUCAAAGAGGCGAAGCGGUAAAGAGACACACAUUUUCGAAGGGACGUACAAGUAACGGAGGAAUGCUUGACAGUGCAGUUUAGGAAUUUAUAUUUUUCAAAUUCUUCUUCUUCUUCUUCUUCACUCUAUGUUCAACCAACAUCGAAGGAUGGGGGUAAUUUUCAAUUUGUCAAAAGGUUUCCAACGUUAGCCCAGAAGGAAGCUUCAGGGAACCGGCAGGGUACAUGCACUCUUGAUCAGCAUCAAAUUGUAAAUCAAUUUAAGCACGUCCGUCUAUCCGUCUUGGUCCCGAUGACAGGUAUAAAAGUCUCGUCCCUCACAACCAAAUAUAAUUUUCUUUCUUGUUUUUUUUAAUUUUAAUUUGACAGCCUAAGGAUCCUCUGACAUGGCAAGUGAAAAAAGUAAAUUCACGACAACAAAACCAUCAAAUCAAGUUAAGGACAGAUGCGAAGCAAAUACUCUUAAAGACACCUGGCUAAGUCGAUUGCGCUAGUCAUACUUAGCAAGUAAUAAAAUUUACAUUUUAAGGGCUGCAUUACAGCAAUAAACGUAAAAGUAAACCUUACACAAACCUAUACCAACCUCUGUAAUGAGUAUAAA